rnacentral:lncRNA from 1 species
UGAGGUGCCAGCAAAUUUGGUUUCUACUGAAGGUUCCCUUCAGGGCUUGUAGAUACAUUCUCACUCUGCCCCCACAAAGCCUUUCUGAUCUUUAUUUUUUUUAAUUUAGUUCAUUGUUGUUGUUGCUGCUGCUGCUGCUGUUGUCUUUGUUGUUGUUGUUGUUGUUGUUUUAAGAGACAGGCUCUCACUCUGGAGUGCAGUUGUACAAUCAUUGCUCAUUGUAACCUCAAACUCCUGGGCUCAAGCAAUCCUCCCACCUCAGCCUCCCUAGUAAGUAGAAGCACAGUGCCCAGCCCUCUCUCCCUUUAAAAACACCAAUUAUAUUGUAUAAUGACUCCAAUCUUAUGACCCCAUUUAACCUCAGUUACUUCCCCAAAGGCCUUAUCCCCAAGUUGCUAUCGCACUGGGGGUUAGGGCUUCAACAUAUGAAUUGUGUCAGGGGAGGACACAAUUCAGUGCAUAACUGUACAUGAGUGCUUAGUGUGAAGGCUACAUUUCAUAGCUUCUUUUGAAGUUAGGUCACUAAAUUCUCAUCAAUGAGAUGGAAAAGGAAGACUCGUGAGAUAGUUUCUGGUCUUCUUUAAGAAACUGCACGCCUUCUUCCCUCUUUGCCUCCUUCUGUCCUUCCAUCCUUCCUUCCUUCCUUCCUUUCUUCCUUCCUCUCUUCCUUCUUUCCUUCCUCCCCUUUCUUUCUUUUUAAUGUAAAAAAAAAAAAAAACCAGCUCUUUGUUCUUUCUUCUUCAUCCCUUCCUCCAUCUCAAAGCCUGGAACAAAGACUAUGAGGACGAGAGUCACACCUUUGGAAUGGCCUGAAAGUGCCUGGGCCCCCAAGAGCAUUGUGGAGUGGAGCUGCUGAUGUACCCUGAACUGCCUAUCUCUGAACUCUUAAAAGACCACUCUAUAGGUUACGUGCAUAGCAGAUCUUGUGGUGUUGGAUGUGCGUGUUGGAUGUGUGUGUUGGAUGCCUCGUUCAUCAACAAGGUUAAGUAUGUUUAAAUACACUUAUUGGCCACUUUUGAGAGGUACUUUUGCAAGUCUCCUACUUUUUUUUUAAAUUAGAUUGCUUGUCUUUCUCCUACUGAUAUAUAAGAGUUCCUCGUAAAUGUUUGACAUGAAUUUUUGGGAUGUACCUGUAUUACAAAUACAUGCCCCAACUCUGUGACAUUUAUUUUAAUCCCUUACUGAAUGACUUUGUAGAACAGAAUUUCUUAAAUUUAAAAUCAUCACUCUAUUCUAUUUCAAUUGUAUGGUUGCCUAUCUUUGAGAUGAUGAGAGCUUGUCUUAUUUUUUUUAAGUCUGAUGUCUAGUAAGUUCUACUACGUUGCUUUUCUUUCCUCAAUACUGUCUUAGCCAUUCUUAGACUUUUGCAUUUCACAGCAAUGGUAAAAUAAAACAAAGUUCCAGAAAAAUCAAAGUUGAAUUUUGAUUAAAAUUGCACUCAAACUGUAAAUCAGUUUGGAAGCAAUUUGCAUAUUUCUCAAAUUGGGUCUUCUCAUUUAUAAACUUGAUAUAUCCUUUCAUUCAUUUAGGUUUUUUAUAGUUUUCUGGGUGGAGGUUUUGGACAUCUUUUGUAUGAUGUACUUUUGGGUAUUUUAUUAUUAUAAAUGGCAUCUAUGUAAAUUUUCUAAUGUUUUUUUUGUUGAUAAGUAAAAAUUCAAUUUAUUUAUAAAUAUUUUGUGUAUUAUAUAUGUACUUUGCAUAUUUAUAUAUUUGUAUGCUGUUAUGGACUGAAUGACUCAAAAUCCAUAUAUUGAAACCCUAACAUCUAAUUUGAUGGUAUUUGGAGGUGUGGGCUUUGGAAAGUAAUUAAGUUUAGAUGAGGUCAUGAAAGUGGGUUCCCCCUGAUGAGGUCAGUGCCUUUAGGAGAGGAAGAGAGAGAGGAAGGCACCAAGGAAAGGCCAUGUGAGCACAGAGUGAGAAGGCGGCUGUUCACAAGUUGGAAAGCGGGCCCCCAUCAAGAACCAAAUCUGCCAGCAACCUGAUCUUGGACUUCCAGCCCCUAGAACUGUGAAAAAUAAAUGACUGUUAUUUAAGCCACUCAGUCGAUGGUAUUCUUUUAUAGCAGCCUGAACUAAGACAUAUGCUGCUCACCUCUCUUGCUGAACUUGUUGAUUACAACAAUUUAUCUGUAGAUUCUUCUAAAGUCUCUUCAUAUAUAAUCCUAUUUUAUUACAUCAUAGUGGCUUUUGUAUUUACUAUUUUCCAAUUAUUAAAUCUCUUAUUUAUUUUUCUUACUCUACUCUAUUCACGUGCAUCAAGUAUGAUAUUGAGUAAAAUGGUGACAGCAACGCUUUUGUCAUUUUCUGAUCUCAAAGAGAAAGCUUUCACGUUUUACUUCUAAGCGUGAUGUGUGCUGUAAGUUUUCUGUAGAUCCUUUUCAAGUUAAGAAAGUUUUUUUUUCUAUUUCUAGUUUGUUGGGAAGCUUUUGUAAAAUUAUAAAUGGAUAUUAAAUUUUAUUUAGAAAUUUCUGCAUCUAUGCAAAUAAUCAUAAUUUUUCUCUUUUAUUCUGUUAAUACGAUAAGUUACAUUGCUUCAUUUUCAAAUGUUAAAUCAACUUUGCAUUCCUGGAAUACACCUAAUGUGUCAUAGUGGAUUAUAUUAUUUAUAAUUUUUAAGAUUAGAUUUGAUAUUAUUUUAUUUAGAGGUUUUAUAUUUAUGUUCAUGAGUAAAAUUACCUGUAAUAUAUCCUUUCUCAUAGUUACCUUAGCAAAUUUUGACAUCAAGAUUACAUUUUAAAACUAGUUCUGGAAUGUUUCCUCCUUUUCUCCCUAUUGUCUGCAAGAAUUUGUGAAAGAUUGAUAAUACUUAUUCUUUAAUCGUUUGGUAAACCCACUGGUAAGCCAUCUGGAUCUGGAAUUUUAUUUGUGGGAAGGUUUAUAAUUACGCUUCAAUUUUUUUUAAGUGAAAAGAUUAUUAAGGUUUUAUAUUUCUGCUUUAGCCAGCCUGGGAAUUGACACUUUCUCACAACUUUACCAAUUUCAUAAUAAAUGCAUUGAAACAAAUGUGCUUAUGAUAAUGUUGAUAUUUUUAAUGACUGUAAAUUUUUACUGA